AUUGAACGCUGGCGGCAGGCCUAACACAUGUAAGUCGAGCGGAGCGGCGGACGGGUGAGUAAUGCCUAGGAAUCUGCCUGGUAGUGGGGGAUAACGUCCGGAAACGGGCGCUAAUACCGCAUACUAUCGGAUGAACCCAUAUGGGAUUAGCUAGUAGGUGGGGUAAAGGCUCACCUAGGCGACGAUCUCUAGCUGGUCUGAGAGGAUGAUCAGCCACACUGGGACUGAGACACGGCCCAGACUCCUACGGGAGGCAGCAGUGGGGAAUAUUGCACAAUGGGCGCAAGCCUGAUGCAGCCAUGCCGCGUGUAUGAAGAAGGCCUUAGGGUUGUAAAGUACUUUCAGCGAGGAGGCGUUACUCGCAGAAGAAGCACCGGCUAACUCCGUGCCAGCAGCCGCGGUAAUUC
rnacentral:rRNA from 1 species